rnacentral:rRNA from 1 species
UUUUAACAAACAUGUCCUUUUGAUUUUAUUAAUAUAAGGUCUGGCCUGCCCAAUGAUUUAUAUUUAAUGGCCGCAGUAUUCUGACUGUGCGAAGGUAGCAUAAUCAUUUGUUCUUUAAUUGGGAGCUUGUAUGAAUGGUCUGAUGAGGGAUAUACUUUCUUUACUUUAAGUUUAUAUGAAUUUAACAUAUAGGUCAAAAGGCUUAUAUUUAUAUAAGGGACGAGAAGACCCUAUAGAACUUUACUACUAUUAUACAUUAUAUAGUUUUGAUUAUUAAUAAUAUUAUUUAUAAUAUUAGUUUUGUUGGGGUGACAGUUAAAUUUAAAGUACUUUAACUUACUGUAUUUCAUUAAUUAAUGAUUGAGUGAUCCAUUAAUAUUGAUUAUAAGAUUAAGUUACCUUAGGGAUAACAGCGUAAUUCUGUUGGAGAGUUCAUAUUAAUAAUAGAGUUUGCGACCUCGAUGUUGGAUUAAAAUAAGUGUUAGGUGUAGAAGCUUAAUAACUUGGUCUGUUCGACCUUUAAUAUUUUACAUGAUUGGUUUUCC